rnacentral:rRNA from 1 species
GACGAACGCUGGCGGCGUGCUUAACACAUGCAAGUCGAACGGAAAGGCCCUGCUUUUGUGGGGUGCUCGAGUGGCGAACGGGUGAGUAACACGUGAGUAACCUGCCCUUGACUUUGGGAUAACUUCAGGAAACUGGGGCUAUUACCGGAUAGGAGCUCCUGCUGCAUGGUGGGGGUUGGAUAGUUUCGGCGGUUGGGGAUGGACUCGCGGCUAAUCAGCUUGUUGGUGGGGUAGUGGCUUACCAAGGCUUUGACGGGUAGCCGGCCUGAGAGGGUGACCGGCCACAUUGGGAGUGAGAUACGGCCCAGACUCGUACGGGAGGCAGCAGUGGUGAAGAUGGCACAAUGGGCGGAAGCCUAAUGCGGCAACGCCGCGUGCGGGAUGACGGCCUUGGGGUUGUAAACCGCUUUCGCCUGUGACGAAGCGUGAGUGACGGUAAUGGGUAAAGAAGCACCGGCUAACUACGUG